rnacentral:misc_RNA from 1 species
AAGUCGUAACAAGGUAACCGUAGGUGAACCUGCGGUUGGAUCAUUAAAAAAUGUUUGGUCUCGUGCCAAAUCAACAUUUGUGUGCACCAUUGUCUGUCCUUGGUAGUUCGAGUCGCGCUCGGCCGAUCUCAACAAUCAAUGAGCGCCUACCCCUUAGGGGGUUGGGCUACCGCCUUUUUGAACAAACCUUCAUGUUGUUUUCUUUUAUGCCUGAACGAAAAGUUAAUCUUUUUUGAUUAAUGAUUCUUAUACAACUUUUGACAACGGAUCUCUUGGCUCUC